rnacentral:piRNA from 1 species
UGUACUAAGAAAGAUUCUUCUGCCUUGGGA